rnacentral:rRNA from 1 species
GAGUUGACUCCGUGGCUACAGGACGACGCUGGCGGCGUGCUUAACACAUGCAAGUGGAGCGACGAACCUUCGGGGGCAAAGCCGCGAACGGGUGAGUAACACGUGGGUAACCUGCCCCGAUGACUGGGACAACCCGGGGAAACCCGGGCUAAUACCGGAUGUUGUGCACACUCAUAAGUGUGUGUACAAAAGGUAGCUUCGGCUUCCGCAUCGGGAGGGGCCCGCGGCCCAUUAGCUUGUUGGUGAGGUAACGGCUCACCAAGGCCACGAUGGGUAGCUGGUCUGAGAGGACGAUCAGCCACACUGGGACUGAGACACGGCCCAGACUCCUACGGGAGGCAGCAGUGGGGAAUCUUGCGCAAUGCGCGAAAGCGUGACGCAGCAACGCCGCGUGAGGGAAGACGGCCUUCGGGUUGUAAACCUCUUUCAGUAGGGACGAAGGCCGGCCGGUGAAUAGCCGUGUCGGUUGACGGUACCUUCAGAAGAAGCUCCGGCUAACUACGUG